AUGGGAGAAGAACUCUCAGGCUUGAGCAUCAAAGAAUUGCGGAAUUUGGAGAACCAAUUGGAAAUGAGUCUCCGCGGUGUCCGCACAAAAAAGGUUCACUUCUUACAUGCUUAUUCAUAGGAUUGAUCCAACUCGCUUCCAAGUAUCUUGCAAGACAAACAGGCUUCAUUACUUUUGCAGGACCAAGUUUUAAUGGAAGAAGUACGGGAGCUGAACAGAAAGGUAGAGUAUUUAACUCAGUCAGACUUGCUCACUUUGCUAUCUGUUCCUCAUUCAGGCUACUAAAUUUCAACCACAAAUCCCUGCAGGGAAACCUCCUUCACCAGGAAAACUUGGAACUGCAUAAGAAAGAAAAUCUAUUUAAACAAGAGAACAUGGAAUUGUACAAGAAGGUAUUAAUCUUAACACCACAAAGUUCUGCCAAAGUUAUUUACCUCAGAUUCCAUACUCUGUCUGACAAAAAUGUUCCAUAUCCCAGGUCUAUGGCACAAGAGAUGCAAAUAACAUAAAUGGAGCACACGCGAGUCUUCUACCAAAUAAACCAAGCAAUGAUGAAGAUGCUCAAGUACCUAUCCAUCUCCAACUAAGCCAGCCGCAUCAUCAGAACUGUGAGACGUCAUCUAGAACUACAAACUUAGGGUAUAUAGCUUCUCUCGACAUAUACUUCAAUUUUUGAAGGUCACAUGCUUACAAACUUUUUGACCAAAUUCUACUUUACCGAUAUUGAAACAGAUUGCAGCUGCAUUAGCAAACUGGGUGCAACAACUGCAGAAGUACAUUAUUGAGUCUCUAUCAAGGGACCAUGCAAACAAAGUAAUGUUUCUUUGACUGAGAUAUUGUAUAAGAGCCAAAGCUAUUCAGCCAGACAUGUUCAUAGGGGUUGAUUAGAUUAGCUUUGAGCAACCAUCUGUUAAUGAUAUAAGCCGAUGAGAUCAUAUUAACUGUCACAAAUAAAGACGAAUUCAAAAGCCGAAAUAUCAUUAUGCAAUGCUUAGUGAAACCAGGGAGGAAAUAUAGGCAUAUGUAUCUGAUCUAUCAUUCUCCUAGGAAAUUAAGAAUUACAUGGAACAAAAAACCUAAGAAGAUUCACACACUUGGAAAAUGUCAACACACUGAGAUUUCGUUCAGCUUUACAUUUGUACAAUCAUAUGAUGCAGCAACUCCUAGAGAUUAGUUUAGCCCAGAGAUUAUUUUAUAGCUUCUGCCGUUUUCAACAAACAUCAAAACAGCCCAAACUAAGUUGCAGCAGCAAACCGCCUUAUGAGAUAAAACAGAUAAAAAAUUGCUGAAGGUAAUGAACACAACGAGCAUUGAAACGUUCUAUCCUAACGAUGUAAGAUUUGAUCAUUUUUGCUAGGUGAAGAACAUGAACAUGCGUGUUAACUGCGAACGGCAGACGCAAGUGUCUAAUGAACUAGAAGAAUCAAUGAGAAAAUUACAGAUGCUGCUUUUCUCAACACAAAGAGAACCAUGGAAUGAAUGAAUUACAAAGUUUCUCUUAAAAAAGAAAUCAUCUAAGUCAGAUCAGCAGCAUUCUUCCUGCCAUUUUAUGAUGUAAGGCACUAGAAAAUCUCAAAUUCUUCUGUCUAAAAUUUUUUAUUUCUUCUAUACGACAGGACCAGCGUCAUGAAAUACGUGAAGUACCUUUAAUGACAUCUUCAGAUCCCUCUUUCCAUUAAAACUUAGCCACACAAGAACUAUUAAUUACAGCUUUUUAGGCCACCAAAGAGAUAAAUUGUUCUUGGGGAAUGCAAAAGGCAACACACUCAGAUUUUCCAAGCUAGGGGCAACAAUAAUGUUCACAGAAUAAUUUAAUGAUCAGAAGCUCAUGAAUACAAAGAAUAUACUCACAUACUUCUGCUAAAUCUCUGUUCCAACAGCAGACGGUCUUCCCCUUUCCUUACAAGAACAUAAGUUACCUUGUAUAUUAGGAUGUUAACAUAUGUUUUUCUUUAUGCAGGGACAACCGGGAAGAGCUAUGAAAGUACGAUGCAACUGGAGAUCAAGCACACACCUCAAUAAAGAAGCUAAUGACCCAACUGCAAUUCAGAUAGAUAACUUUCAAGUUGAUGGAAUCUACUAGGUGUAGUGUUUCUGGGUUGAAUAUUAAACUUCGAUCUCAGAAACAAAAUGGAAUCAACAAUCUACACCGGUAUUGAGCAUAUUCAUGCUCGUGAAAUUAUCUGAUUGAGAAUAAGCCAAAACUUUUCACAGAAUUCAUAGACACUUUCUCGUGUGCAUAUUUUGGCUUCUUCAGCCCAUAAAGACCCAUUAUGGUUACAUAUGAAAGUGUGUGACAUACAAAGUGGACCACAACUCAAAUGUCGAAUAUGAUUGCACUUGCUAAACCAUUUUAUCAGUUCCCCUAAGAACGAUAACAAGUUUUGCCAGAAACAGCAAAAGUAGAGAAUAUAAAGUGGCAGAGAAGUCUGGUAUUGUGCAGAUAGGAACCAAGAGCCACACCUGCCAUUAAGAUUUGCCACCUAGUAACAUCAUGUUUAGCAUACAAUAGAAUCUGCUAAAUAAUGUUGAAGCUGAUACGCUGCACCUUUUACCAUAACCAAAAAGAAUGAGCUGAAGCUUCAUUUUACAAUUUGAAUCACAAGCAAUUGGUAAUUUGAUGUCCUUCAUGGCAUUGUGUAUCACUUGACCGUAUGAUUAAUUUUUAUAUCUUUCAUGAACAUAUGAUGUAGUAAAGGAUCAAGUGAUUUCUUGAAAACAUAACCAGGAAGUGAAUACAAUUCAACAUCAGUAUAAGGCAUUUCAAGCAUGCCAGCAAAGCAGUUGACAAGAGCCUUGUCAAAGUCACAAAAUGUGGGAGACUUUGCUGAAAUAGUUUGUCCAAGUACUAGACUCAUGAGCACUGAUGUGAAGCUAUUUAAUAUUUUCUCAAGAAGCUACAGCAAAGAAUAAGAAUCUUCAAUUAAUCAAUCCCUCCACGAGAAAGCAUUCUCAACAUAUUCUCAGCUAAUACCCAACUUGGCAGCAUCCACUUGGUAACGUUUUCUGGUGGGGUGCCAAAAAUAAUAUCCUACCUUGAUACUACUAGCCCAAAAGGAUCAAGAUAGAAAACAAACCCAUCCAUCUUAUAGCCCAAAUAGAUUUAUUUGGCUUAAGCCAUGCCCCAAGAUAAAAGACCUCGUAAGGAAUUCUAGAUGCUAGAACCCAUCAUAGUCUGAUAAUUAAAUAGUCCUCCCAUGUUUAAAUUAGUCUUCAUGGACCAUUUAAGUGCCAUGGCACAAUGGGCAUAAAGCAUCCCCAAAACAUUUUUAAUCACGAGGUUCAACUUUUACAAAUAAAUAAAUAAUACUCAAGCAUCUGAGUCUAAAGAAAUCAAAUCCAUAGAAUAUGAUGGCAAAGAUACCCUGAGAUAUAGAAAUUCAAUACAGAGUGGGAUCCAACAGAGAGAAUACAGUGGACCAACUGGAGGUUUUUCAAGUUCAUCCCGCAUCAUGCCCUCGCAAGGAUCAUUUAACUUCUCUAGUGGAUGAAUGGUGUGGAAUCAAGAUGGCUAAUGUUGGGACCUUUACUAGGUAAAACUGCUAAUAAGAUAAUAAAACUUGAAUACCAUUAAGAAGAGCUGGUUCUCUCAUUUAAAACCUCGUCCAUUCUGCAUAACGCAUACAGGCUGCACAUUAAGAUUUUUUCAGGGGACAAAAGACCUAAGUUGCAAAGAGCAAGAGCUCUGUUCCAAUAAAACCUACAUGUGGAUGCAAUAUAUAUAUAUAUAUAAAUAUAUAUAUAUAAAACCAUGAGUCUCCAGAUUAAUCCAUGUGAAAAGAAUGUGUGUGUGUGUGUGUGUGUGUGUGUGUAACUCUACAACAUAACAAUGCAGGCAUUACCUACUGCUACUUGUUCCAUUCAAUUGCAUUUUGCCACUACGUUCAAAAUAGUUAAAUGUGUGGAGACACCAAAAAUAAAACUCAUCAUGAUAAAGAUACAUAGAUGAUAGAAAUUACAAUUAGAAACAAAUAUGCCGCAAAAGAAGUUAGUAUUGCACCACGUAAGUGUAAGAUCAGAAGUUCUGAAUUUAUAUGGGGGCACUUAGCCACAUCAAAAUGGCAAAUUUCGAAUUCUCUAGCCAUAAGAUUUGACUCAAGAGAGACUCUAAACGGGGAUUGAGACAAAAAGUAUACAUCAUGAGGACCCUUUAUCUUGGCAUCUUUUGCAUUAUAUUUCUUUACGUGGACUACAUGGUGGGUACUUUCAUAGAGGAAUCUUCGUAUGGGGAUCAAGGAUUUAAAUGACGUACACAUGAUAGAAGUACGGUACAAAACGCCUUUUCCCAUGAUUGGUGAAAACAACUUAGUUGUACUACUGGUCUUCCCACUGAAGUAAAUGGUAAUCUAAUGGGCCUUCUAGAGGCCAUUUCUAGUUAUAUUGCUAGAGAUCAUCUCCUUAGGCUUUUGAAAAAACAAAGCACGAAAAGAACCAUCUAGGAAUAAAAAAUCCCCUAAAGUGGUUGCGAAAGCCAAAUGAAGACUGAAAAGUAGUAUUAAGUGUUGAACCAUUCGAAGCCAUCUGCUACCUCCAUUUUAAUAACCUGGAAGGGUAACAAAACUAUUGCCAAAUCCACCAAAUUCACAGUCCGAUCUCUCUACAGUGCCAGUCCUUGACCCCUUUUUCUACUGAGGCCACAUAGCCAUGAAUGACUUUGACCUCAACUGUGUAUUUGAAAUCUUUUUUCAUUUGUGUGCUCUUCUUCACUCCACAAAAGGAUUACCAGCCAAAUGAAGAAGGGAAAUAAGUAGCAAACACAAGCAAAUUACACUACAUAGUCCAAACAUUACAUCAUAAAAAAAUAAAAAAAGGUUACGAAUUGAUAGAUUUAAAACAUAAUUCCCAGGUAAAAAGUUCAUUCACGUGCUUCUCAUCAUGCACCGUUUAUGAUUUUCCCCUUUUUAACGAGGGGUUUCCACAGAGUACUACACAACUGACUAUGGACUUUUCUUCCUCUGCUGAAACCUUCAGCUUUCACAUCUCUAUAGCUUGAUCCUAAAUUUUUUAUAAAUAAGAUCCUCUUCAUAACUUCUUGAGUUCGAAUAUUAUAUGCGUUCAUUGUUUAUAAGCUAUCUGCAUAAGACAGAUUAAUUUACGGUCAAUAAUUUUUUCCCUAUUCAGGAGGAUUUGUCUUUUCUAAUUAAGAAUUAAUGUCUUCCGUUGUUACGAACCAUUGGUCAUAUCUAUACAGGAGGAUCUUAGAACUCAAAAGAAAUGACAUCGAUGGUACAAAGAUGAGAGAUAAAUGCAGUGAAGAAUUCCCGCAUGUUACUGGCAUUCGAGGAAUUUGGGAAGAAAUUAUUGACCAAAGCAUUUUUCAUGAAUUCUACGUGCAGUUGUUAAUGGAACAAUUCUUAGAAUCCAAAUAAAGUAGCCAACCAAAAAUCAAAAUGCCUAAGCUGCAAGAACUUCCAGUCAGUUGGCCCCCAUCUUUGGCUAGAACCGAAAGAAAUAAUGUAUUGAGAUUAACAUUCAAGUGCAAAUUAAGUGAUCCCACCAAAUUCUAACUCACACCUCUGGUAUUUCCUUUAGCAAAGGCUGCAAAUUCAAGAUCAUUCUCUAACUUCCCACAGACAACACAGAAUGGCGACACAAAUGCCCUAGAGGAAGAUGUAGACGGUGCCAAGCAACUCCAAAGUGUAACAGAUAUAUACUCCAAGGCAUAUGAUUCCUUGAGUUGACCAAAUACUGCAAACAGAUAAUGAAGUCUUGGAAAGCAAUUUAGACAAUACUACUUACCACGAAAGGGAUUUAAAGAAAUCUUUUGGUGCUGGCUCAUUCUUUAUCUAUCAUACAUUUCUAACCUAAUUUAGCCUUGUGCACUCCUAAAAGAACAAAAACAAAUUAAAAAAAAAAAACAAAACAAAACACACACACAAUUUGAGUGAUUCUUAUUCGAGCACUCCAGUUAAUAUUCUACUGCAUAUGUAGUUUCAAGACAAAGCCAAUAUAAAGAAGCAACAUACACCUGCCACUAGUAGUAAAUGACCCCGAACCGACCGCUUCGAAACGUAUGGCGAUCUAAACUAUAGAACAGAUAUUCCCUCUCAGUAUUCAGUUCUUGUUGAACUAGGAUGAUCCAGGUAGCUACGCACCGCACCAAAAGACCAGGAACGCCUGAGCACGACGUAUCUCGCGUCGAGCGACAUCAUCAAGGCGCGAAAAACCCUAACCGAGCUAGACUUAAGAAGCCAUCAUCGGACAAGGCAAGGAUUUCCUCUUCGACCAAAAUUCCUCGCGGAAACAUCGAACGGAAUUCCGAACCGUAAUCGCGAGCCACACCUCACACCGACCAAAAAAAGAGAAAAAACCGCGAACGGCAUCGAACCGCGUCCGGAGUACACCUCCGCCGAUCCAAUCACGCGUCGCGUAAAGCCGUCGUACCUGCGCGAGCCCGAAGCCGCUCCGCCGCGCGGCUCGAUUCCACCGCCGAGCCGCGGCGGCGCUCGAGAGAGAGAGAGAAAGGCCCGAGCUUCGUCUCCGCGCGGCCGCUUCCUCGAGGGAGACGCGGAGGACACCUGGCGUGGCCGAACGAAAGCGAGCGAGAAAGAGAGAAGAAGAAGAAGGAGAAGAAGGACCAAGGAGAGGCGGGAGAGAAGAG
rnacentral:lncRNA from 1 species